rnacentral:rRNA from 1 species
GACGAACGCUGGCGGCGUGCUUAACACAUGCAAGUCGAACGGAAAGGCCCUGCUUUUGUGGGGUGCUCGAGGGGCGAACGGGUGCGUAAGACGUGAGUAACCUGCCCUUGACUUUGGGAUAACUUCAGGAAACGGGGGCUAAUACCGGAUAGGAGCUCCUGCUGCAUGGUGGGGGUUGGAAAGUUUCGGCGGUUGGGGAUGGACUCGCGGCUUAUCAGCUUGUUGGUGGGGUAGUGGCUUACCAAGGCAUUGACGGGUAGGCGGCAGGGGAGGGUGACCGGCGACAAUGCGCCUGCGGGACGGCCCAGACGGCUACGGGAGGCAGCAGUGGGGAGUAUUGCACAACGGGACGGCGCCUGAUGCGAAAGCGCCGCGGGCGGGAAGACGGCUUUCGGGUAGUGAACCGCUUUCGCCUGUGACGAAGCGUGAGUGACGGUAAUGGGUAAAGAAGCACCGGCUAACUACGUG